CACCGCCCGUCGCUGUCCGGGACUGAGCUGUCUCGAGAGGACUGCGGACUACUGUAUUGAGGCUUUCGGGUCGCGAUAUGGCGGGAAACAGUUCAAUCGCAAUAGCUUGAACAGGGUAAAAGUCGUAACAUGGUAUCUGUAGGUGAACCUGCAGUG
rnacentral:ncRNA from 1 species